GAUAAACGCUGGCGGUGUGCAUAAGACAUGCAAGUCGAACGGGAGAAGACAGGAAGAUUUAUCUACUUGUUGGACACCGUGGCGGACGGGUGAGUAACACGUAAGCAACCUGCCUAUAAGAGGGGAAUAACAGUGAGAAAUUACUGAUAAUACCGCAUAAGCUGGAGGUAUCGCAUGAUACAUUCAGAAAAGAUUUAUCGCUUAUAGAUGGGCUUGCGUCUGAUUAGCUAGUUGGUGAGAUAACAGCUCACCAAGGCGACGAUCAGUAGCCGGAUUGAGAGGUUGAACGGCCACAUUGGGACUGAGACACGGCCCAGACUCCUACGGGAGGCAGCAGUCGGGAAUAUUGCACAAUGGAGGAAACUCUGAUGCAGUGACACCGCGUAUAGGAAGAAGGUCUUAGGAUUGUAAGCUAUUGUCGUGNGAGAAGAAA
rnacentral:rRNA from 1 species